rnacentral:rRNA from 1 species
GAUGAACGCUGGCGGCGUGCCUAACACAUGCAAGUCGAGCGGAGAUUUCUGAAGUAGUAAUACGGAAGAUUUCUUAGCGGCGGACGGGUGAGUAACACGUGAGCAAUCUGCCUUCUGCAGGGGAAUAACAUUGUGAAAACAGUGCUAAUACCGCAUGACAUAUCACCGGGGCAUCCCGGAGAUAUCAAAGGAGUAAUCCGGCAGAAGAUGAGCUCGCGUCCGAUUAGCUAGUUGGCGGGGUAACGGCCCACCAAGGCGACGAUCGGUAGCCGAACUGAGAGGUUGAUCGGCCACAUUGGGACUGAGACACGGCCCAGACUCCUACGGGAGGCAGCAGUGGGGAAUAUUGGGCAAUGGGGGAAACCCUGACCCAGCAACGCCGCGUGAAGGACGAAGGCCUUCGGGUUGUAAACUUCUUUGAUCAGGGACGAAUAAAUGACGGUACCUGAGGAACAAGCCACGGCUAACUACGUGCCAGCCGCCGCGGUAAGAC